rnacentral:misc_RNA from 1 species
UAUAGACUGUCGGUGAUAUGGGACCGGGAGUAUCGUGACCAGAGGCUUGAGUCAGACAUUGUCGGUGAUAUGGGACCGGGAGUAUCGUGA